GUUUGGAGAUGCUCUCAGACCCCCCUUUGUAGAGACCGCAAACCCUAGCAAAAGAAUCCAAAAAUAUCUCGCGUCGUUCUAUUGUGCAUUUGAUAUCUUGGAUUGUGUGUUUUUUUUUUUUGCUAGCUGUUUGUGUAUAUGUUUUUGUUCUUUCCCGCAAUUCGUGUUCUUUGUGUAUAAUUUUUAAUCCACCACAAACCCUAGAAAAGAACCCCAAAAAUGUUCAUUCAAGCGUGCAAUUGAUUUCUUGGGUUGUUAUCUUUUUUCGAGUUGUUUAUGUACAUUUUCUUUGUUAAUUCAUGCGAAUCGUAUUCUCUGUGUAUCAUUUUUAAUCCAUUUAUUGCACUCUUUUCUGACAAGUUGUUUAUCUUAAUUUUCCAUUGAUUUUUUUUUUUUCAUUUUCGUAUUCUCUAUUUUCAUAUCUUCGUUUUAGAGAACACUAAACCCUAACAAAAAUAAUUUUUUGAGUUGAUUUAUUUGGUCGUAUUGUCCUGGUGCGUUGUUUAUGUUCAGCUUCCUUUAUUUUUUUUGCAAGAUUUGGCUUCCUUAUAUGAACAUCUAAUGCCCAGGUUUGCUCAUUCUGUCACCACGCUGUACGCAGUAACUUCUUUUUUCUUUUUUUUUUUUUUUUUUUUUUUUUUUUUAUCAUGUGAUUUAUUUGCUUUUUCUUUUCUUUCUUCCUAGAAUUUUUGAUCCGUCGGAUAAAAAGGUACACUAAUCUCCUUACAGUUAUUCUCUCUGUCAUUUUUUCCAGAUUCCGUUUUACAAAGUAUUUUUACAUUGUUUCAGAAAUCUUGGUAUGGUCUUUUACCACCAAGAAGACUCGAUAUAAUGGUGGUGAAUGUUUAGGCUUUUGGUUGCUGUUCAUUGAAUCGGCUGUGCAGUAAUAUUUUUUUCCCACUUUUACGUUCGUGCGAUAUUUUUCCUUUAUUUCUGUUGAAGAACAAGUAUUAUGCAAAUCUCAACCACCUGAUGUGUAGGAGAAGAUCAUGGAGAUCAUGUUGCAUUUGUUAUCUAAUUUGUAAUUUAAAUUCAAAUUCAAAUGUCAUGUGUAGAUUAGAGUUAUCAUGUUAUCCUUUGUUACACUAUAAAUACAUAUGUACAUAGUUCAGUUUACACACAACAAAAAUAAUACAUAAAACUUCUAUUUCAUUCCAUUCUUUAAAUUCUAUAUGGUAUCAGAUUGAGCCGCCUUGACCAACGUCCCUAACCAUGGCUUCUCCAUCAUCCACCCUUCCAGAUACUUCUUCCACCACAAAUCCCUCAUUCAUUACUCUACCUACCAUCAAUGUCACCAAAUUGACUAGAGAUAAUUAUCAUGUCUGGAAGGCACAGAUGAUUCAUUUCUUCCGUGGCCAAGGCCUCUUUGGCUAUUUAACUAACAAUACUAAAUGCCCACCUAAGAAAGUUGAUUCCCCUAAUCCUACUAUUUGCUCACUGGUAACGUCAGGAUGCUAUUGUCCUGGCCAUUAUUCUAUCCACUAUCAGUGAAUCAGUUAUGGCACAGGUUGUAAACCAUACAACUUCUGCUGCUGUAUGGUCUGCACUGGAGACCACCUUCUCCUCUCAAUCGUGUGCUCAUGCAAUUCAAUUUCGCACAGACUUGGCUAAUGCUCGUAAAGAAGCUCUAUCUGCUAAUGAUUAUUUCAUGCACAUCAAAAGAUUGUCUGAUGAACUUGCUAUUACAGGACAAGCUCUCAAGUGUGAUGAGAUAAUCACAUAUCUUCUGUCAGGCUUAGGUCAUGACUAUGAUCCCUUUGUUACGACUAUUCAAGCUCGAAAUGAUCAAAUAACACUUGAAGAAGUCUACUCUCUCUUGCUGAGUCUCGACUGAACCAUCAUAAUCAUAUCCAACCUGUCCUACAAAGAUCAGUUAAUGUUGCCACCAGACAAUCUUCACAACCUCAACGUGGUCGUGAUUUCCGCAAUCGAGGGCGUGGACUUUGUGGUAGUAACAAUUUUUCCAACAACCAUGGUUAUAGCCAAUACUUCAAAAAUGUGGUUUAUUGUCAGGUUGUGAUAGGCCUGGUCACACUGCAAAGAAGUGGUAUCAUCGAUUUGAUAUCAAUUAUCAAGCCUCGGUUUCUUCUCCUUCUUGCCUUCCACAAGCUAUGAUAGUCUCUAAUAAUUCCUCGGGUGAUACAGAAUGGCAUUCAGACACAAGCUCUACUCAUCAUCUCACGAAUGAGGUAAACAACCUAAAUUUGCAAAGAGAGGACUAUGAUGGUGCUGAUCAAAUCCAGGUCGGCAAUAGUGCAAGUUUGCAAAUAUCAAAAAUUGGUUCCACUCUUCUCUCAAAUCCCUCUCAUCUCUUUAUUUGAAGUCAAGUUUUACUUGUUCCAGAUAUUAAAAAAAAUUUAGUCUCUGUACAUCAAUUUUGGAAAGACAAUUCAGUAUACUUUGAAUUUCAUCAUUCUUCAUUUUUGUUAAGGACUAGUCGGGGAACAUUAUGCAUCAAGAAACCCUUAACAAUGGGCUAUAUUCAUUCUCGAAGACCAAUAAAUCUAUCCAGCCAUGCUCCUUUUCUGCCACUGGAGUUCCGUAUUCUCUUUGGCACAAAAGACUUGGUCAUGCAUCACCAUCAAUCACCAGACAAGCAGUUGCUCAAUUUUCCCCUCUAGUUGCAAAUAAGAGAUAACAUGUGUGUCCAGAUUGUAAAAAAUGCUCGUAGCUGCACCUUACCAUUUAAAAACAAUCGUUCUUCUUCUGUCUUUCCUUUGGAUUUAAUUUAUACUGGUGCUUGGUACUGUUGGAUAUUGGUUAAAUAAAUUGAGAAUUGAAAAUCGAUUAAAGUUCGUAUCGAAUUCGGCCAAAUACUCAAAAGCUCGACUCAAUCCGUUUAGGCAAAAUUGUUUGCCACUUCGCCGCUUCGGGG
rnacentral:lncRNA from 1 species